rnacentral:lncRNA from 1 species
AUUUGGUUGGGUAAGGGAAGGUUUUUAUUCAAGUGAUUCAAGAGGUUCAAAACAUAUGAUCUUUAAGGUGGUUUAUUCUCAAAACAAGUAGACUUGACAUUGCACAUAAUAUAUCUAAGAAAUGGAUCAACUCAUGCAUACAAUGCUCAAUCUCCAUUGUUCUACCCUUUUCCCAAACUUACAAUUACACAAUCAUUCCCAAAUGUCAAACCCAACUCACAUCUCUCACCAAAAGAUCCUAAGAACAUUAACUCUUUCUCUUUGAAAUCUACAAGGGAUUUUUCACAACCUCAAAACAUUACUUAGCUCCUAACAACUUUGCUAGCCCCCUUUUUCUUUCUUUUUCUUUUCUUUUCAUAUUUUUUUUAUUUUUUUUUUCUUCAUUUUUUUUUUAUUUUUUUUUUUUUAGGUGGGGGCCAAAACUUUCAUAACUUGAGCUAGAGGUUUAUCUACUUAUCCCAAUAAAACAAUUCACUUAAACACAAAGAGUCAUUUGUUUUCCUUUUUCAUUGCUCCCAAAUCAUAAUCACAACACUCAUCCCCCACCUAUAGCUAGACAAUAGAGUGUCCAAUCUAGCAAGAAUGAAGAUCAAACAUUGUCGUUCCCGAUACUCUCAACAUUAUGCACAUGUAAGACUU